GAUGAACGCUGGCGGCGUGCCUAAUACAUGCAAGUCGAGCGAACGGACGAGAAGCUUGCUUCUCUGAUGUUAGCGGCGGACGGGUGAGUAACACGUGGAUAACCUACCUAUAAGACUGGGAUAACUUCGGGAAACCGGAGCUAAUACCGGAUAAUAUUUUGAACCGCAUGGUUCAAAAGUGAAAGACGGUCUUGCUGUCACUUAUAGAUGGAUCCGCGCUGCAUUAGCUAGUUGGUAAGGUAACGGCUUACCAAGGCAACGAUGCAUAGCCGACCUGAAGGGGGGAUCGGCCACACUGGAACUGAGACACGGUCCAGACUCCUACGGGAGGCAGCAGUAGGGAAUCUUCCGAAAUGGGCGAAAGCCUGACGGAGCAACGCCGCGUGAGUGAUGAAGGUCUUCGGAUCGUAAAACUCUGUUAUUAGGGAAGAACAUAUGUGUAAGUAACUGUGCACAUCUCGACGGUACCUAAUCAGAAAGCCACGGCUAACUACGU
rnacentral:rRNA from 1 species